ensembl:lncRNA
CAAGAACUGUGUAGAACAUGAAUCAGUCUGUGUCAGAUCCUGAAUCUGAAAUUUCCACUGAAGUCAAGGGUAAGAGGUAAGGGGCACCAAGAUCGAGGCCAUUUGCUUUUUGAAGUUUGCAAAACUGCUAAAUUUGGCCAAUGGUGGUUCACUCUUUGCAACAUAGUACGCUUUUGAAAGAUUUUUCAGGACUUCUGCUUCUGCUUGGUUUAUUUUUAGUAUGUUUUUUGCAAUUGCUGUUUGUUCUGGGAAAGAUAUUGCAGACUGGGCAAUAAUGCAUUUCUUGCAUUUCUCAUGGGUUCUGAUGGGGUCUUUCUUCAAAUUACUGGUCCCUGUUACAAAGGCGCUUGUCGACUCAAAUGAAAUGAAACUCACGACACACCCGGCAGAACAUUAUGUAUUUAGCUCGUCAUAUUCCAGCCACAUAAAUUCUUUUGUCCAUGAAACCCAAAAAGCUGAGCUUUCUUUUUGCCUCAUAGUCUGAUUUGUCAUAACUUUUCCGUUUUGUGGUAGGCUUUUAUUUGGCUGUGCCUUCUUCACCCUGACCUGUCUUAUUUGGCUCAGCAGAACUAAAAUUCCAGCGUAAAUCCUGCUGCUUUUACACAGGUACUUACAUAACGGUCAGCGAUUCUCUGCGCAAUCAACCUCUCACGUGUUUAAGCUUGCUGUGGGAGAUUUCACUUGUCACGUUUGAAUAGUAAGCUAAUGAGUGAUAAGACGACGUCAGAGGAAUUGGUGCGCAAUUAAUCGUCACUCACCCAUCAGUGCUGCCGCUCUCUACACACAGUUCGCACGAUUGCAAAGUGAAAGUGAAAGCAAAAAACAAGCACAAAUUCAAACGCGAUUUCAAUGUGUCACAUAAUGACAGUGGCUCAUCGAUGCCAAUAACAUAAUUACUCAGCUACAUUUGCGAAAGAAAAUGCAAAAUCAUUGACACAUUUUUUCUUCCUAUGAUAGCCCGACGGGCAGGGCUGAGAUGGAUUUUGGUAGCCCGACUGGAAAAAUCGCUAGCCCCGGGACGUCGGGCUAGCGAUUUUGCGAGCCCUGGGCUCUUAUAUAGCACUUUUCUACUACUUAUGAUUUUUUUUUUUUUAUAUACACAUUGCGAUGUGCUCAUUAAAGAGUUGGCACUAAAGAGAGUUUUGAGGGUCGUAAGCUUCAUUCAGCGCUAUGACUGAUUUGAAUUAAUGUGACUGACGUAACUGUGCAAACAUGCUUACAUAUAACUAGUUAACAGUCAGAAUGAUAUUUUCUGGGCCAAGGGAGUCUGAACAGAAUGUCCUGAACUUAGAUAAUAAAUAGAAUCAGUAGGAUAAUAUUAAUCAAGGCAGGGAGGGUGUUUUCUCUUGUCUCUUCUCUUCCAGGGAAAGGACACGAGACAAAGUCGGAUGUGAACUGAGAGAAGACUCAUAGGGAGCCAGCAGGACUGCCACGUCACUUCCGAGAGAAGAGAGUCAUAAUAAUACUUGUUGGGGUAUAAAACUGUACAGCCCAAUCCAGGGUCAUCCUUUUAGUGAAAACAGCUGUCCUCAUCCCCUGAAUCAAGAUAAGAGUUCUGACACUGGACCCAUAGAUUUGGCAGUCUGGAUCAGCAGAGAGAGUGAGUAGGUGGCCCACACAGAGCUGCUCCUCUCACCAUACACCGUUGCUGCUUCUGUCUUCCUUGCACUUGGUCACUCAGUGUCAGCUCCUGUACAGGUUUUGCCUUGCAAGUGAUGAAUUGAGCACAAAGCAGUGUUUACUUCAUAUCAAUUAUUACUAGGUGUGACACAUGGACAAAACAUCUCCUGCACUGAGCAGUUACAUCUUUGUUUUUUUCUGGGAGCAGAAGCAGGCCUAGACGACAGCCAGCAAGCAGAAACUUGUGUUGUUUGUCUUGCCUUCCUGGCUGCCCGUCCAUGAGCCUGGUUCUGCCGGAGCUUUCUUCUCGUUAAAAGCAAGUUUUUACUUCCCGUUUGCUCAAAGAGAUUGUUUCGUUGUUGUUGUUAUUGUAGGGUAUUUACCUUACACUCCAAAGCCUUAAAGUGACUCUUGUGAUUUCACACCAUAUAAAUAAAUGUAAAUUGAAUUAACAGUGUUGUCCAGAAAAGUGACUGAUUUGCAAAGAAUUUGCUUGAUUCAAUACUAUAUUCAAAUUUAUCAUAUUAAAGUCGCUUAUAGUAAAAAUUCUGCCUUUUUAGAUAAAAUAUUAUUUAGUCAUAAUUUAGCAUUUUCCAGUUUUUCAGUGUUUGUUCGUUUGGAUUUGUUGUGUCUGUUAGUUGUUCAAUUUUUCACUCAAUAUUGCGUUCCAAUUUCUUUUCCUAGUGUUUUUUUUUUUUUUUUUUUUUUAUGAGAAGUUAAUGGGGUUUUUUUCUACCCUAAUUAGUGCUCUUUCUCAAAGUAAAGAUCAUUUGUUUGAAUAAAGUUAGCCAAG